GCUAUCCUUUGGAGGUAUAAGUUCUCUCAGCUUAAAGGUUCUUCAGAUGAUGGCAAGAGCAAAAUCAAAUUUUUGUUUCAGAAUCCAGAUACUAAACAGAUUGAAGCAAAGGAGUUGGAAUUUUCUAAUUUAUUUGCUGUUCUUCACUGCAUUCAUUCCUUCUUUGCUGCCAAGGUAGCUUGUUUGGACCCUCUAUUUUUAGGCAAUCAAGCUACUGUUUCUGCUGCUGCCAGCUCUGCUACCACGAGCAAAGCAAAGUAUACAACUUGACGUACUGAGCUCUGCACUGACACGCACCAUGACUAUAUAAGCAGAACACAUUUACUCAUCAUUUAGACCCUAGAGAAACCAUAACAUCACCAAGUCAGCAGUGGAGGCAAAUCGAAAUUAUGGCAGAAAAAAGAAGGUCAUGUGGAACCUCAAAAUCACUUCCAUUCUGGAUGACAUCUGUGAAACAUACUAUAUGAACAAAACAGUUCAGUUGCUUUGUACCAGUAAGUAUAUUGCUUUCACCAAAAGUGGAGACAAAAAUGAAUUAUUUGAAGAAAUAUGUAAGUAAUAUAAAAAUAGUAAGCUACUUAUAAAUAAAACUACGUAUUAAAAGAUUACUUCUGUAUUUUAGAUUAUUUUGUAUGACUAGUACAUGUUGGGCAGAGUCAUAAACAAAGCCCUAUCAUUGUAUUAUGAGGGACAUAAAAGAGUUAAAAACCAUAAAUCAGCAAGGAGCAUGCAAAAAAAUCACAUCAAAGAAGGAUGCACUUUAAUUUGCUGAUGUAAAUUUGCCCUCGUGUUCUCAUCCCAUGAUUUGACACUGGCAGUCCAAUUGUUUUUAUCUUAUUGUAAAUAUUCCAAAGAACUUCGAAAGGAUAAUUAUUUUGACCCAUGAUAGAUACAAUGUGGAAUGGACUAUUCUCCCUUCGAUCACUGUUAUUGAAAUGUCUUAUUAGCUGCCAACAAUCAAGUAUGCCAAUAAUGUAUUAAUUUAAUUAUGAGUAAUGGAAAAUUUCAUGAACCUCUCAUUUCUUCUUUGGUUUUAAAUAGAUUUAUAUUUUACCUAAGAAGAUUUAUUAUCAAAUUAAAGUUUCAUAAAUUUUCAGUGAACCAAAAAACUUUAGUAGAGAAAAUAAUAUAAACAAAUAUGGUGUGAGAAGCAAUUCUUUGUAAUCUGAAGUCUACUAGCUAAUCAUGAACUAAAAUGUCCCUCUAAAGCAGUCCCAAAUCUAUUAUAUAUGCUAAUUAAAUGACAUUUUUCCAUUUCAGUACUAUUUUAUUAGAAACAAAGGUGAUAGUUAAAGAUAAAAAUUAAAAAUCUUUAUCUUCCCUUUUCAUGGAAAGUAAUUAAGUAAUGUCAACUAUGCAGGUUAUUUUAGAUAUUUUGUCCUAAGAAUGUAAAUGUGGAAGGCUGGGAAAUUUGAAAGCCUUAGAGGUGUGCAAUUUACUGAGAUUCCAGGUAUUAUACAACUAGUUGUAUAAUAUGGAAAACAUUCUCUGUCCUUUAGUACAGCUUUUUUGAGAUAUUUUUAAAAGUCAACUGUGUAUG